GGCCGCAAGGCUAAAACUCAAAGGAAUUGACGGGUCCCCGCACAAGCGGCGGAGCAUGCGGCUUAAUUCGAUGCAACCCGAAGAACCUUACCUAGGUUUGACAUUAUGGGAAAAGCCAUGGAAACAUGGUGUGCGGGAGCGUCCAUAACAGGUGGUGCAUGGCUGUCGUCAGCUCGUGUCGUGAGAUGUUGGGUUAAGUCCCGCAACGAGCGCAACCCUCGUCCUAUGUUGCCAGCGGGUAACGCCGGGGACUCAUAGGAGACCGCCGGGGACAACUCGGAGGAAGGUGAGGAUGACGUCAAGUCAGCAUGCCCCUUACACCUAGGGCUGCACGCAUGCUACAAUGGUCGGUACAACGGGCAGCGAUCCCGCGAGGGUGAGCGAAUCCCUCAAAGCCGGCCCUAGUUCGGAUUGGAGUCUGCAACUCGACUCCAUGAAGCCGGAGUCGCUAGUAAUCGCGGAUCAGCAAAGCCGCGGUGAAUACGUUCUCGGGGAUUGUACACACCGCCCGUCACGUCACGAAAGUCGGCAACGCCCGAAGUCAGUGGCCUAACCCUUUAGGGAAGGAGCUGCCGAAGGUGGGGUCGGUGAUUGGGACGAAGUCGUAACAAGGUAGCCGUACGGGAACGUGCGGCUGGAUCACCUCCUUUCUAAGGAGCA
rnacentral:rRNA from 1 species